GCCUCUGUGGUCCAGCGGCACGGACAUCCGCCUUGUAAGCGGAGGACCCCCGUUCGAUCCGGGGUAGAGGCUCAA
rnacentral:tRNA from 2 species